rnacentral:rRNA from 1 species
AAUCAACGCUGGCGGCGUGCCUCAGACAUGCAAGUCGAACGCGAAAGGUUCCUUCGGGAGCCGAGUAGAGUGGCGCUCGGGUGAGUAACACGUAGGUAAUUUGCCUUUGGGUGGGGAAUAACAAUCGGAAACGGUUGCUAAUACCGCAUAAUGCAGCGGCUCGACAUCGAGACAGUUGUUAAAGCGGGGAUCCUUCGGGACCUCGCGCCUAAAGAGAAGCCUGCGGCGGAUUAGCAGUUGGUGAGGUAAUGGCUCACCAAGGCGACGAUCCGUAACCGGCCUGGAGAGGGCGGACGGUCACACUGA